GUAACUCUUGGCAACAAAAAUGACUUCGUUUCGGGAGUUUCAUAAAUGUGAUUUCAUAAAAGAUGAUGUUUGAAACUGGUGUGAUAGUCAUGUGUGCAGAAUUCCUUUCGUUCGUUUCUGGGGUUUUACGUCCACUUCCACCUAAGAUAUGAUGUGCAUAAUAUGCAUCUAUAUUAUCUUCCCUUGUCGGUGACUUUUUGUAAUACUUUCGGCAAUAUUGAUAAAAACUGAAGCUAUUUCCGGUUCUUGUUAGUGAUGAGUAGGACACAACUCUAAAAGUAACUCGUUCCCGGUAAUGCGGUUAUGGCUCGAUCAUGCGAUCGGCUUCGUGAUAAGUUUUGUAAUUACCAAAAGAAAAAAACAACCUUUAAUCAACGUAUUUCGGCUUGCUGAGUGGAACAUUAGAUCAGUGGUUCUCAACCUUUUUUUGCCAACGUCAAACCUUGGAACACAUGAAGUAAUAGGGGCACACCUGGAUAUAUAUAUAUAUAUAUAUAUAUAUAUAUAUAUGGAAAAUAUUUGAAUUUUGCAAAAUAAAAACAUGGCAAGUCAUAGACGGCAUACAACCGUAGACGCAGACUAGUCAUACAUACAAAGAAUGACUCAAACUACAUCAAGAAAAACACAGCUAUGAACUUACUUUAUUGCAGUGUUUCGAAUUUCAUCAGUCAAAUAACUGGCUUAUUGAGAAAUUGUCUUAGCGUGCCGUUCGAAAUUUCGCGGCACACUGGUUGAGAAUCACUGCAUUAGAUAAAGAGUACUGUUUACUGAGUGUAUUUUAUAUUUAAAAAAAAAAAGAAAAAAAAAAGAAAUUGACUCAUGAAUACUAACACUUGUGUGACAAAGUACUCUUAUAACUUUCAUCAAAUUGAACGAUUAUUUAGGUCCUUAGAACUUUAUGACCUCAGCUGGUUUUUGAUAAUGUAUGAACUUCUGUUAAGGCACGAACUGGCAAUGGUCUUAUUAAACAUGUAAUUAAUCCCAUAUGUCGUUUACAAACUACAUAUGAUCUGUGUACAAGCUCCACAUGACUUCAAAGAGAUAUGCACUGGUCAGUAAGCAUACCAUGACGUGCGAAUAUGUAUGAUCAUGAGUUUUAUCUAUUCUCCGGUGCUAUAUAAUCAGGAGUUUACCGACAGACAGACAGAGCGGAGAGGAGAAGAGAGGCUUGGACGAGUGCAUGGACUCACCCGAGUUCAGCCGCUGCCUUGGCAGAGGGGCAGAAUGGUGGAUUUAAUAUUGUAAUAUGUGUUCCUGUUGUAGUCUAGUUCCCGAUGUAGUUUAGUUCAUGUUGUAUCUAUGUAACUGUUUGAUAUUCUGAUCCGAUGUAAAUAAAUCCUAUAUUUACUAAACUGGUCUACUGUUAUCACUAAGAUAGUGUUAUACUUGUUCCGAAAUUUAAGAUUUGUAAGGUAUACAUUAAUCAGUACGGAAGUAAUCAUCCUCCAUGUCCUUAGUAGUACGGAAUGAUACAACUCGGGAUACUGAGGGUGGGUAGUAAUCAAAGCGGUACAAGGAUUGACAAAUCUCAGAAAUCAAUACAACAAAAUUAGUAUUUAUUUAUCUGGGCGCAUACGAUGGAUCGGUUGAAUACAUUUUUCACCAAUAUGUUUUAAGGGGCAAGGGAUGGGUUUUUAGACUGUAUCUUUCAAUCUGAAUGUGACUUAUAAUCUCUUGAUUGAAGCGCACAUAUUGAAGGUUAAAUUAUUGAUUAUCUUUUCUUAACAACCAAAUUUCUCGGAAAGCAUUACAAGUGCGGGUUGCGGGUUUUAUUUCUAAAUGCUUUUUUUCAUAUUCAAAUUGAUAGAUUCAUUUUGGUUAAGGAUGGAAAUGUUGUUUAAAGGAGCCAAUUCAAU